rnacentral:rRNA from 1 species
UGGGGAAUUUUGGACAAUGGGCGCAAGCCUGAUCCAGCCAUGCCGCGUGCGGGAAGAAGGCCUUCGGGUUGUAAACCGCUUUUGUCAGGGAAGAAAUCUUCUGAGUUAAUACCUCGGGAGGAUGACGGUACCUGAAGAAUAAGCACCGGCUAACUACGUGCCAGCAGCCGCGGUAAUACGUAGGGUGCAAGCGUUAAUCGGAAUUACUGGGCGUAAAGCGUGCGCAGGCGGUUUUGUAAGACAGAGGUGAAAUCCCCGGGCUCAACCUGGGAACUGCCUUUGUGACUGCAAGGCUUGAGUGCGGCAGAGGGGGGAUGGAAUUCCGCGUGUAGCAGUGAAAUGCGUAGAUAUGCGGAGGAACACCGAUGGCGAAGGCAAUCCCCUGGGCCUGCACUGACGCUCAUGCACGAAAGCGUGGGGAGCAAACAGGAUUAGAUACCCUGGUAGUCCACGCCCUAAACGAUGUCAACUGGUUGUUGGGAAGGUUCCUUCUCAGUAACGUAGCUAACGCGUGAAGUUGACCGCCUGGGGAGUACGGCCGCAAGGUUGAAACUUAAA